ACAGGCACUGCAUUGGGAGGAACCGGGUAGAGCAGGCGGCUGGCAGCACUGCCACAGAGCUCCAAGAGAGCACACCGGAGCUCCAGAGCCCCCAGUUUUCUGUCCUGUUUGUUUUCACGCAUAUCAUUUGUUUGCAGAAAUUAAAAAAGCCCUCAAGGGAUGGAGGCCAAACUGUUGCCUGGAAGUCGUUCCUUCUGGUGAGAGAGAAGCCGUGGACCGCUGGAUUCGCAUUCAGAGCUGCCGCGAACGGGUGAGGAAGAAGGGCUUUGUUCCUGGACCACUCGAGAGCGUGUGGACAGGAGUCCGGCUUGAUCACACACACGUGAUGGAGAACAGGAAGAAGAGUGGAAUCGCCUGCAUCAGCCUGGAGCCCUGGAGAGAAAGCAGCAGAAAUCAGCAACAAACAAACACAGAGUUCUUCCUCCAUGUGAGAGGUCGGGUUAGACAUGAUGGACAGCACAGAGCCGCACACGAUAGAGCUCCUGUCCUGAGGAAUCAGCUCAGUGGAGGUGGUCGACGGCAGAGGGAGGGUAGACUCUCACCACUCACUGAAGCGUCAGUGACUAAGUAUAUGAGGUAAACUGGCAGCAGACAGAUUAAUCAGAGAGUCACCGUGUGCCUGCACACAGUGAUCCCAAAACUAGGAGACUAAAGGAAGGACAUGGUGUUCGGGACAUCCUAAGCUGCAGGAAGGAACAGGGGCUCAGGGCUUGGGGUUUCUGGGGGACUCGUGACGGGUUAUUGGAGGAGAUGUGUGGUGAGUGGAAGGCCAGUGUGUUAUAUGGACAGAGUGUCUUAGUCAUCCUUGUUGUCUAGGAGUAGCUCUCACAAGAAGAUAAGGCAGGCCGGCGCCGUGGCUCAAUAGGCUAAUCCUCCACCUUGCGGCGCCGGCACACCGGGUUCUAGUCCCGGUCAGGGCGCCGGAUUCUGUCCCGGUUGCCCCUCUUCCAGGCCAGCUCUCUGCUAUGGCCAGGGAGUGCAGUGGAGGAUGACCCAGGUGCUUGGGCCCUGCACCCCAUGGGAGACCAGGAAAAGCACCUGGCUCCUGGCUCCUGCCAUCGGAUCAGCGCGGUGCGCCGGCUACAGCGGCGGCCAUUGGAGGGUGAACCAACGGCAAAGGAAGACCUUUCUCUCUGUCUCUCUCUCUCACUGUCCACUCUGCCUGUCAAAAAUAAAAAAAAAAAAAAAAAAAACAAAAAACAAGAAGAUAAGGCAGAGAAGGACUUCAGACACAGCUCCUCUCUACACUGCAAGGAAGAGGGGGUGGGAGAGGGCCAGAGAGAUGCCUCAGCAUGCUAAGCUGCCUUGCUUGGAAGUAUCAUUUUCUGAGUCCCUACAAAAAACAAGGUCAUCCCUGGAAGCCUGUAUUUUGAGCCAACACAUAGCAAAAGGUCAAAGACGCAGCACUGAACACUGAACCAAGAAGGGGCAUAUUCUGGGACCAGUGUCGUGGCACAUGGUUAAGCCACCAUUUGUGAUACUGGUAUUCCAUAUCAGAGGGCUGGAUCGAGCCAUGGCUGCUCUACUUCCAAUCCAGCUCCCUAAUAAUGUGCCUGUGUAAACAGCAGAAGAUGGCUUAAACGCUUGGGCCCCAGCUACCCGUGUAGAAGACCCAGUGGAAUUCCUGGCUCCUGGUUUUGGCCUGGCCCAGCCCUGGCUGUUGCAGCCAUCUGGUGAGUGAACCACUGGACAGAGAUUCAUUCUCUCUCUCUCUCUCUCUCUCUCUGCCUUUUGAAUAUAGAAAUAAAUCUUUUUUAAAAAGCCAAAACAGAAGAAAAGAGGGGACAUAUUCCCUUACUCUCACUAGUAUGGCACAACAUUUAAGUCAGACACAUAAGACUAUUCCCAGAUCUGGAAGCAAACAACAACUGAUAUUUGAUGAGUGUAUACAAAGUGCCAAACUCCAAGGGUUUUUAAAAUGUACUAACUUAUUAUUACUUAUUAUUACUAACCUACUGCCAUUGCUGUUUCUAUUUCACAUAUUGGAAAACUGAGGCAUCCAGGCACAAUACUGUGACCACAUCACACGGCAGACAAGCAGUGGAGCUGAGGUUGUCAUCCAGGGUAUCUGAGUGCGCCUGGACCCCACUGGGGCAUCCAUAGCUCUGUAGUGAGAAGGCACCGAGAGUGGCAUUAGAACUCAUCAUCCAGUGUGCCAAUUACAUUCCAAUAAAUGGAUCUACAGUAUUCAAAUAUGUGAAGGAGGGUUCUGUGGCCAGGUCGUUGUAUAGAUAGUGAUCUGCUGAUGGACAGCUUGGGUUUCAAAUGAUCUUUGCCAGUAUUUUCAUUCACAAAGAAGUUACGUAAAUGAGUACUUAGGCUUUGGCUCCAAUGCAUCGUUGCCUUGUGGAUUUAAGAAGUUUAUACAUUGAAAUCAGCAAAUUUUUGACUUGUGAGACUUCGGGAUCAGGAAACGCGGUGUGCACCGGGGAGGUGGAAGGGUUUUAGGCUUGAAGGAAAGGCCUUGAUCCAAAGAAAGAAAAAGCAGCAUUUAUACAGCGAGAGGGUAUUUCCAUCUGCACGUGCGGACUUUGUGGAGGGGAACACCCUCUGGUAAAUCCAUCACGAUGGACUUGCCAAGAACUGACGGUCUGUCCAUGCACCUGCCCAGGAGCCGUAGGGGGAAAAUGACAUUGUCCCGCCCUUUCCCAGCCUCCAUUGUUAGUGGGGAAAGACAACUAAACCACUCAAAAUGAGAGAAUGGGGCGUGGCCUUCCAGACGAACGUUCUGGAAGAGUUCGGGGAAACAAGUGCCAUCUUGAUCUCACUUUCCAGGGAAGCAGAGAGGACUUCCUGUGCCAAUGGCACCCCUCAGUGGCCUGAAGGGGGACACUGGGGACUUGGCUUGGGGUUCCUCGUGGAGAAUUCAAGUCUUGACUCCAUGAUUUCUCCCAAGCUUGCAGAACUGUUUCCCUGAUGUCUCCCCUGGCCAGAUCCGCACAGCCCAAGCAGCUCUGUGGCCUGUUGAUCAAAUGCUUCAUCCGUCACAAGGCCCCUGGGAACCGUAGGCAGCGUGUUAUUGCCGUUCCGGCCAGUUGUUUCUCAUCGCGUGGAUGUGCUUGCAUGGGUAAAUAAUCCGGCCGUUCCUAUGCCAGAGGCUAAUUUGCCCUGGCUUGGGAAAUGCAUGGUGUUUUUUGUUUUUGUCUUUUUUUUUUGAAUCGCUAAGCAGUAUGACUUAUAUCGAUCAUCCUGCAUGUUCCUGGCUGACCACCAAGGCCCCCCUUCCUGGAGCAAUGGCAAAGUUGCCGAAUGAAGAUUUCUCACAGAAUUCACCACGGACUAUGAAGUGCAGUGGCAACAAGGGAAUCGGAAUUGGGCUGGCAACGUGGGUAAUGACCAUGAUGGCGAAGGAGGAGCCCUGUGAUGUUGAAUGAAGGAGCUGUUCUUUGGCUGUUUGCAGAGGGUCCAACUAGUUUCCUGAGAAGGCCCCACCACCAUUGAACUCCACCGAGUGGGGGUCCAUUUUGCUUUGCUUUAACUUACAUGGCUCUCAAAACUCAAGGCUGAAUAUUUGCAGGUUAAGGGGAUUUUUAACCUUGCUUUCAAAUGCCGUUCCUGAAGUUCAAAGCAUGUAAGACUAUCAAUGGGUUGCCAACCACUGUAAUGCAACACUUAUCCAAUUUGCGAUGAUGCUAGUUAAAAAAAAAAAAAAUCUCUCUCAAGGGAAAAAAAGAGCUUCCCAGAAUUGCCUACCCAGGGAUAAAUUAUAAAGAUCUCCCACGAACACCAGAACUACAGGAGCUUAAGUGUAAUUACCACCUUCAUAGGAAAAUAGAGUCUUUAUUUCUUACCUUUUCACCAAAAAAAAGAU